GAGGCGCGCGAAGCGACUGAGCCUCUUCCGAGCGGCGGAGUCGCUGCAGACCAGCCGACCUCUGCCGAAUCGGACGAAUGGGUAUCGUUCGUGCGAGAUCGUAAGGAUUCAGCGCGUCCACGUUGCAAAACCACGCUACUUUACGCGCCCGCAAAAUAAUCGUGCCACCGACGUUGACUAGUCAACAUGGUUCCACGCGUCCACGCGCGACUUCUGUCAAACGAUGCGGUUGCUCGGCGUCUCGUCCGUUGAAAAGAAAGUUUUCAUGGGAAAUCACUGGAAGUUUUAAAGUCUGUCACGACUGUACUGGUUCUUCGGCGAAGGUUUACCAGCCACUUUUCUAAUUACACAGCCAGCCCUCAAUGACCACAGAUGUCUUCAAGUUUAUGGGGUCAUGUCGAAAGGAGGACUCGAUGGAAUUCAUCGGCUCUCAUUGGAAUGUGGUAAAGGCCGGAAUGAAGGUCGAAUAAGUCUCUCAACCGGUUGUCGCAAUCUCCAGCUGGUCAUGUUUCCAGUCUAAUGGAGUUAUCGAUUUGUUAUGCAAACGAGCAGGGGUUUUGUAUAGUCGGCUCGUAUUGGAAGCUCCCUUGCGAAUCAGUCUGAAAACACUUGCUCGAACAGAACGAACUGUCAAGCGAAGCACGUAUGUCCCCUAAUUACACGCACGGGACGCGUGCAUACGCCAUUUCGAACAAGUCCGAGGCUCUGGUACAUCGGUUCGUUACGCACCGGAUCGAGCUACAAUUUACGUAGUCGUUUACCAUGUCCCAGCACGCAUGUACGCGUUAAUCGUGACUUAUUCCAAUUCUUCAAUUGUCCUCGUGUCAACGCUGCAAAUCUGUUUCGUUUCGAUCUAUUCUUUUACCGCCAUUCCAUCGAAAAAGAGAAAUCAAAAAUCAAAUUCGAAGCUAAAAUAUAAUACGUAGAAAUUACUUGCGGAAUUAAGAUUUAUUUUCAAUGAUCGUAUUAAAUUUCCAAUUAAAUCUAUAUACAUUUUCCAACGGUUAUGUAAAUUCAUUCUUUCGAAUUUGUAAACAUCGUUAUCCCUAGUUCUUGUUUGGCGUGCUUCUUUAGUGAUUCUGUAGUCUUCUCGUUAGAUUUCAAUUUUCAAAGUCAAUAUUAAUUUGUACUAAUAUUUGCACGAGAUAUAAAUCCCUAAUUUAUUAUAA